rnacentral:snoRNA from 1 species
UGAUCGACAACCAGACCGAUGUAAAGCCGUCGCAGAUGGACGUU